UACUACCACUUGAGAGGGUGAAAAUGCGUUACGGGACACCCUGUAGAAUAUAAAGACUUACGCAGAUUUCUUUUUUAUGCUGUUAUAUUUGUUUCUACAUUUGCUACUGCAAAUAAUACACUUUUACCCUUUUAUUUUCUGAUAAAUUUCACAAGCUGUAAACCGUCAUUCCUAUUCACUCUAAAUACGCGGACUACUAACAAGGAACCCGGAAAUUCAACAAAUUAUGAAACUUUGUGAAUACGUAGAGGGUGCCCCCUGAUUAAAACGCAUUUUUUUUUACUGCCCGUUUUCGGUUUAAGGGGGUGAAAAUCGCCUUCAAAAUUUCGGCCGUUUUUCGCUUUUUUCCUUUUUCUCCGAAACUGUUAAAGAUAUCCAAAAACUUUAUAAACAAAAGUUGUUCGUCUUAAUGUACCUAUAGUGUUUGUUUAUGUUGGAACAAAAAAUUGUUUAAAUAAUUACAAAAAGUUAUAAACAAAAAAACUUAAAAACUAUUGAAAAGUUCUAAAAGUCGUCAUGAAAAUAGGAAAUGGUCUGUUGUUUAAAGUAACGUAACGUUUAAGGGAGCAAAAAAUAUUACUGAAUAUUUUUAUAUUUUACGUUUAAAAACUUGUUUGGUUUAAGGGGGCACGUUAUGUGGUGCAAAUGAUGUUUCGAUAGGUGAAGUGGUGGGGGAGAUUUUGAAACCAAACCAAUUUUUUUAAAUGUCACCCUAUAUUUUUCUAUUUAUAAUAUUGUGUUGAGACGAAUUCAACGAUCUGCUACAUCGCAUCAUUCCAUUAGUCAGAACCUUAAAUUUUUGCGAUUGAAGUUGCAUUAGUGUGCACGGGGAACGUUGGCUGAAGCGCGCCGCCUCAAAGCGGGGUUGCUUCACAUCAUACGACUGAAUUUUAUUUGAGAAGGCAAAUGCCAAAAAAUUUUUUAAACAGUUGAAGCUCUUGCUAAAAUGCAGUUUUUUCCAGGAUGAUAUUUUGCAACGUCCUCGAAGGCAGUACAUACGAAUUACUUUCAAGAAUUGCGAUUGCGACAGAAAAAAUAUCAGAAACAACAUUAAAAACAAUAGAAAAGGAGUUUGUAAGAAGAUUGCAAAAGUCUAUUUUUAACGACGGCAGACACGUCGAAAGAUAAGCAUCAAUAUCCUCCCACAAUAUUUGGGUAAAAUCUGAUUCCGCCUAAUACAAGAAAAUAACACUCAAGCGAUAUGAAGCAACCACCCUUUGAGGCGGCGUGUUGCACACUGACGUAACUUCAAUCGCAAAAAUUUAUGGUUUUAUCUAAUGGAAUGAUACGAUGUAGCAGGUCAUUGAAUUCGUCUCAACACCCACUACAAUAUUAUAAAUAGAAAAAUAUAGGAUGCCAUUUAAAAAAA